rnacentral:sRNA from 1 species
CGAGACAGCCGGCGUUGGGAAAGUACGAGAGAGCUCUGGGCAAGCGUUGAUCAAUAUCAAGUUCAACCCAGGGAUUUUGUUAGAAAAAUUUGUUUCUUGGUGCACGAAUGGAGGCGGAGAACAGGCAAUAAUCGGCAGCCAGCGGACAAAGGAUCAUCUGGGCCGAAUCACGCUGAUCAAUUUCGAUCUCAAGUUGAGCAGCCAAAAAAAAAAAGAAAAAAAAGAAAAAGACUCAUGGUUGAAGUCUUCAAUUGGAGUGGAUAGGCGGAAUAGCCCCUUCCACAUUCCUUAAUCCAUGAGUAACUACGG